AUGAACAUCCCUGAGAGAAUUAAGAUCUUUGGGUGGAGAAUCGCUACUGGAACACUUGCAACAAAAAAGAAUAAAUGCAAGAGGACCAUAGUUCAUGACAGUGUUUGCGACAUUUGCGGGAAUGCUGAAGAGGAUGAACAUCAUGCGGUUUUAGCAUGCACAAAGAGUAAAGCCCUGAGGUUUGAGAUGAGGAAAAGGUGGGAGCUCCCCGUGGAACAGGAGUUUGGUUACACUGGGAGAGAUUGGCUGCAGGUUCUGCUUGACAAACAUGAUUCAGACAUGAGAAACAAAAUCCUUUUGCUGUUGUGGCGAGCUUGGUUCUUACGCGAUGACUGCAUACACCAUGAGGGAAAGGACGCUGGGACUGUCGGGAGAAUUUGCUCGCCGACGUAUGUCUCAGGAGAAAUCCAGCCUCAGAUACAAGUGUGUGCAGCAGAGGAAUCUCGCUGGGAAAAGCCAUCGGAUGGUGUGAUCAAAAUCAAUUCAGACGCGGCCUUUCAGUUGCAAACCGGACAAUGCUGGGCAGGGGCUGUCGCUAGAGACCACCGCGGCCAGGUUCUAUUUUCGGCAUGCAGGGCGAUGAGCGAUUGCAGAACGGUUGAGGAGGCAGAAGGACAGGCCAUCCUCAUGGGGAUCACCACAUUGUCAGCUAUGCACCAAGGAGAUAUAAUCAUCGAGACUGAUUGCGCAAUGAUUGCCAAGGAACUGAGGAUGGACUCCCCAAAUCGAUCGGAGUGCUUCCCAGUGAUCAUGGGUGCUUCAAGUCUAUUGGAAUCAAUGCUGUGA
rnacentral:rRNA from 1 species